rnacentral:rRNA from 1 species
GAUGAACGCUGGCGGCGUGCCUAAUACAUGCAAGUCGAGCGAACGGACCAUAAUCUUGCUUUUCUGAUGUUAUCGGCGGACGGGUGAGUAACACGUGGAUAACCUACCUAUUUGUCUUGGAUAACUUCGGGAAUCCUGAUCUAAUACCGUCUAAUAUUUUGAUCCUCAUGGUUCAUAUGUUUAUGUCGUUCUUUCUGUCUCUUAUAGCUGGUUCCGCGCUGCAUUUGCUAGUUGGUAAGGUAACGGCUUACCAAGGCAACGAUGCAUAGCCGACAUGAGAGGGUGAUCGGCAACACGGGAACUGAGACACGGACCAGACACCGACGGGAGGGAGCAGUAGGGAAUAGGACGCAAAGGGCGAAAGCCUGACGGAGCAACGCCGCGGGAGAGAUGAAGGUCUUCGGAUCGUAAAACUCUGUUAUGAGGGAAGAACAGAUGUGUAAGAAAAUGAGCACAGAGUGACGGUACCUAAACAGAAAGCAACGGCUAACUACGUG